GACGAACGCUGGCGGCGUGCCUAAUACAUGCAAGUAGAACGCUGAAGAGAGGAGCUUGCUCUUCUUGGAUGAGUUGCGAACGGGUGAGUAACGCGUAGGUAACCUGCCUGGUAGCGGGGGAUAACUAUUGGAAACGAUAGCUAAUACCGCAUAAAAUUGAUUAUUGCAUGAUAAUUAAUUGAAAGAUGCAAUUGCAUCACUACCAGAUGGACCUGCGUUGUAUUAGCUAGUUGGUGAGGUAACGGCUCACCAAGGCGACGAUACAUAGCCGACCUGAGAGGGUGAUCGGCCACACUGGGACUGAGACACGGCCCAGACUCCUACGGGAGGCAGCAGUAGGGAAUCUUCGGCAAUGGGGGGAACCCUGACCGAGCAACGCCGCGUGAGUGAAGAAGGUUUUCGGAUCGUAAAGCUCUGUUGUAAGAGAAGAACGGGUGUGAGAGUGGAAAGUUCACACUGUGACGGUAUCUUACCAGAAAGGGACGGCUAACUACGUGCCAGCAGCCGCGGUAAUACGUAGGUCCCGAGCGUUGUCCGGAUUUAUUGGGCGUAAAGCGAGCGCAGGCGGUUAGAUAAGUCUGAAGUUAAAGGCUGUGGCUUAACCAUAGUAUGCUUUGGAAACUGUUUAACUUGAGUGCAGAAGGGGAGAGUGGAAUUCCAUGUGUAGCGGUGAAAUGCGUAGAUAUAUGGAGGAACACCGGUGGCGAAAGCGGCUCUCUGGUCUGUAACUGACGCUGAGGCUCGAAAGCGUGGGGAGCAAACAGGAUUAGAUACCCUGGUAGUCCACGCCGUAAACGAUGAGUGCUAGGUGUUAGGCCCUUUCCGGGGCUUAGUGCCGCAGCUAACGCAUUAAGCACUCCGCCUGGGGAGUACGACCGCAAGGUUGAAACUCAAAGGAAUUGACGGGGGCCCGCACAAGCGGUGGAGCAUGUGGUUUAAUUCAAAGCAACGCGAAGAACCUUACCAGGUCUUGACAUCCCUCUGAUCGCUCUAGAGAUAGAGUUUUCCUUCGGGACAGAGGUGACAGGUGGUGCAUGGUUGUCGUCAGCUCGUGUCGUGAGAUGUUGGGUUAAGUCCCGCAACGAGCGCAACCCCUAUUGUUAGUUGCCAUCAUUCAGUUGGGCACUCUAGCGAGACUGCCGGUAAUAAACCGGAGGAAGGUGGGGAUGACGUCAAAUCAUCAUGCCCCUUAUGACCUGGGCUACACACGUGCUACAAUGGCUGGUACAACGAGUCGCAAGCCGGUGACGGCAAGCUAAUCUCUGAAAGCCAGUCUCAGUUUGGAUUGUAGGCUGCAACUCGCCUACAUGAAGUCGGAAUCGCUAGUAAUCGCGGAUCAGCACGCCGCGGUGAAUACGUUCCCGGGCCU
rnacentral:rRNA from 1 species